GAUGAAGAACGCAGCGAAAUGCGAUAAGUAAUGUGAAUUGCAGAAUUCAGUGAAUCAUCGAAUCUUUGAACGCACCUUGCACCCUUUGGCUAUUCCGAAGGGUAUGCCUGUUUGAGUAUCAUGAACACCUCAACCCUCAUGGUUUGCCAUGAUGAGCUUGGACUUUGGGGGUCUUGCUGGCCUGUGGUCAGCUCCUCUCAAAUGGAUUAGCUUGCCAGUGUUUGGUGGCAUCACAGGUGUGAUAACUAUCUACGCUUGUGGUUUUCCACCAGGUAACCUUCAGCAAUGGGGGUUCGCUGGGGCUCAUAAAUGUCUCUCCUCAGUGAGGACAGCUCUUUGAACGUUUGAUCUCAAAUCAGGUAGGACUACCCGCUGAACUUAAGCAUAUCAAUAAGCGGAGGA
rnacentral:misc_RNA from 1 species